AUCUAAAGACAGAAGGUCAGAGGUUCCCAGGGAGGUUGAUUCAGGUUGCUCUGGGGUUUAUGGUUUAUGUGAGUAAUAGAGACUUGUCCAGGCCUUCCUGGGGAAAGGGUCACCUCAGUACCUCACCAGCACCAAAUGGUGUGUGAGUGAUAGGAUGCCACCCACAGCCCUGCAGAUAGCAGAAGUCCCCCUGCCAGACAUGCUUUCUAAUCAAAGGAUUUGGUGAGAGCCCCCAAAGAGCAGCAGGCUGGAGAACCAGAGGAAGUCCAUCCACUUAGAACUUAUUCUCUUGCCCCCACACUGGCUCAACAUGGAAGAACACUCCAAGAACCUGCUUUCCAGGUCUGGAGCAAUCAGGGAGCGAUAACCAGACAGCCAAGGGUCUCCGGAGUCAGACUCCACUGCAGGGUGUGUACAAGAGGGCUCCGAGAGGACCGAGUUGGGAACUGAGACCCC
rnacentral:lncRNA from 1 species